rnacentral:misc_RNA from 1 species
UUUCCGUAGGUGAACCUGCGGAAGGAUCAUUAUUGUAUAAUCGAGGUGCGAGGGCUGUCGCUGACCUGAAAGGUUGUGCACGCACGAGUGCUCUCACACACACCAAUCUCACGCCUAUGUGCACCACCGCGAGGGUCUCACGUUGGCUUGUUCGGUAGGAGGCUUAGGUUUUCAUACAAACCUAGCAUUCAGUGUAGAUUGUAUUUUUUGUUUUUGCGAAGGCGCUAUCAUUACAACUUUCUUCAACGGAGCUUUUGGCUCUCGCAUCGUUGAAGAACG